GAUUGCACUCGGAAAAUGUGACUGCAGCCCUGCAUUUGAAAUUAGUUUGUUUUCAGAACCUGUAUGUUGCCUGUCAGUGUUGGUGGCUGCGAAUCUGAAAAGGGCUGUCCCGUAAAUCUGUUGAAACAUUGUUCACUAUCUUGAGGGUGACUGACCACUACUGUACCUUCAAAGUUUGAAGUACGGGACAUUUUUUCUUAGUGUCUUAUGUCUUGUGUUCUUAUUCUAGUGUUCCCCUCUGGGUGGCGCCACUGCUCUUUACUGCAUCAGCUCUGAAGACUGACAGACAGAGGCGAAGAAAGGCAUACAAACUAAUCAGUCUCACACUGUGGCACAGGGGGCUGAGUUCCAGUCAGAAAAGAUGUCCCACCUUUGUAUAUCCCACUGAGUUGAAGAAACUGGUGCGCAGUGUGUUUCCCGAGCAGUUGUGUGCUUACCCUGACCCUGCACAUCCACAGGUGUUUCAUGUGACCUUAGAUGACCUUUACAAGGUGGACACAGACUGCUAACGGUCUCUCUUUUUGAAGGCUGCUGUGCCCCUCCCUCAUCGAGCCGGACCUGUUAUCUGAUGAAGUGGGAAAAAAUAAGCAUUUUUUCAUCAGGCUUCUCAUACAGCUGUACAGUGCCUGGAUUCAAAUAUUGAUUCAUCUACUAUAAAGGAUAAUUAAUAAGAUAUGGCUGCCAAUUGAGCAAUUGCCAACUGUCAAUAAGUGAGGGGAACAGAAUAGCUCAAGUUGUAACAAACCCCACAAUACACUGUGCUGAUUCUUUUUUUCCUUCACUUCAAACUCAGGAGUCAAACCAAAACAUUAGCAUUUUAUUAGCUUGGUGAGGUGAUUGGCCAGGGUGGAGUUUCAGAGUAUUUAACAUUCCAAGUAGAUUGCACUCCAUUUUGUAUAGGGAAUAACUACAUUGAAAAACCAAAAAGUCACACUUGCAUUAUCUCACAAGAACGACGUUGUAACAACAGGCAGUGCACUAGAAAUCUUGGAGGACAACAAGAUUGAAUUAUAUUUUUUAUGUACUACAGUUGGACUUUUUUUUCUCCAUUGUUUAAUAAAACUAGAGUCUAGAUUGCAGUUGAUUUAACAGCUGUUUUUUGUUAGUGAUCUGGCAUAAUUUAUAUCUGGAACAAGGAUUUAAAAUGAAAAUACACUGGGUAUACUACAAAAUGUCAUAAGCAGCCUGAUAACACCUUUUGAGUGUGCACCAACUGCUUUUUAAAAAAGAACUGCAACCCACUCUUGUUGUGGAGCAGUUUAAACUUGCACCAUCUAGUGGAACAAUCAUGCAUUAACAGCAAAAACUACAUUUCGUCUUCUAAAACAAGGUAAGAGAACAAACAUAUAACUCUUACAUACUGUAUAUUGCUUUAAAACUAAUGAUAUACAUUGUGCUCUUCCACAGAUAGCAUCUUAAAUAAUUUAUCUCUAAAUUCUGUCCAUAAUCAAAAUCCCUUGUACAAUAUAAAUAACUUGUGUGUAUUUACAGUAUAUUGUUUGAAGAAAAUGUGUAUUUUUGUCAUUUUAGAUAACUUACUGAGGUCCUACCUGCUCAUUAAAUGUGACACUUUUCAAAAGAUUUGUGGUGUUAACCCC
ensembl:lincRNA